UACGUAGGGGGCGAGCGUUGUCCGGAAUCAUUGGGCGUAAAGGAUGCGUAGAUGGUGUAGUAAGUUAUCGGUGGCAAAUCGAGGCUCAACCUCGUGGAAGUCGGUAAUACUGCUAUGCUAGAGGAUAGGAGAGGUUAACGGAACUCCCUGUGGAGCGGUGAAAUGCGUAGAUAUAGGGAAGAACACCAAUAAGGCGAAGGCAGUUAACUAUUCUACUCCUGACAUUGAGGCAUGAAAGCGUGGGGAGCAAAACGG
rnacentral:rRNA from 1 species